UUCAUGAAUAACCAGGACUCCUCAGGUGGCCAGGACUCUUUUCCAGGCCCAGUCUGCAAUGAUUGUGAUGUUGGUUCUCGGCAACCACUUACUUUUAACUUAUAAAUGACAGAUCGCUGAAAUCAACUAACCUGUCUCUGCUUUAUACUGCCGUUAGUAUGGACAGCAUAAAGUUGAUGACAGGUUCUCUUUAAUGAAGCAAUCUACAACCAGC